UAAUACUAGCGGUCCAAGUCGCAGCCAUUUUUAUUGGGUCUAAAACAUCCGUAGCUUGCUUUGUAAGUCUUUUGUGAAAUCUGGCAUCUCAAAUGUUAGGCGUGCAAAAGGUACUGCAAAGCUAGAGACUGGAAGACGUAAAGAGUACGUUUGAAGUAACGGUAAAAUGUGUUAAUCUCAAACGGACUAACAAUAGCGAAGGUACUUUACGAGGACAGUUCUGACAGUAAGGGAUGAAGGCUAGGGGCGCAAAACGGAUUAGAUACCCGUGUAGUCCUAGCAGUAAACACUGCACACUAAACAUUAGUACCUCUUCGAGAGGUAUUAGUGCUGAAGGGAAGCCGAAGAGUGUGCUACCUGGGAAGUAUAGUCGCAAGGCCG
rnacentral:rRNA from 1 species